rnacentral:lncRNA from 10 species
GAUAGGGGCUGCUUUUUUACGUAAUAAGGCGGGUUGUACUGCUGGAGCGAUAGCGUGUUCAUCUGUAAAGACGGGCAGGAAGGAGGGUGCUCGGCCCUACUGAAAUCUGUAAUAGGGCGACUGUCCGGCCGAAGAAAGUGACGGAACGGGGCCGUGACCAUUCCACCUUCUCAGCGCUGGGCGAAUUCCACCUGCCAAUUUGCAAAUGGGCUUGUUUUGGUCAGCGGACCGCAGGCAGCAUUCCCUCCUCUGCAGAGUUUCCGUGUGUAGAUGGACAGGCCUGCCGCCAACCCUCUCCCUGCCCUUCGGAAGAGCCUGGGAAUCUUCCCUGAAAUUUCGAUGACAGUGGGCCUUCCCCGGUGGAUGCGUCUUUCAUCUCCAUGCUGCGUUCUCAUCCCUGCUCACAAC